GCCGAGGUGGAGCGUUGAGGGCGCUGUGGCCUAACAGGCUGUGGGAGUUCGAGUCUCCCCCUCGGCACCA
rnacentral:tRNA from 1 species